GGUGGCUCAGUGGUAGAGUGCUUGCCUCGCAUGCAUGAGGCCAGAGUUCGAUUCCUCAGCACCA
rnacentral:tRNA from 1 species